rnacentral:rRNA from 1 species
UCAGACGAUGCGUCAUGCAUAUCAAUAAGCGGAGGAAAAGAAACUAACAAGGAUUCCCCUAGUAACGGCGAGUGAAGCGGGAAGAGCUCAAAUUUGAAAUCUUAAAGGGUUUCCCUUUACGAAUUGUAGUUUAAAGAAGUGUUUUCUGUUGAGGUUUUGGUAAAAGUUCUUUGGAAUAGGACAUCAUAGAGGGUGAGAAUCCCGUAUUUGACCUUUACUUUCAACUUUGUGAUACACUUUCAAAGAGUCGGAUUGUCUGGGAAUGCAGUCCAAAAUGGGUGGUAAAUUUCAUCUAAAGCUAAAUUUGGCGAGAGACCGAUAGCGAACAAGUACCGUGAGGGAAAGAUGAAAAGAACUUUGAAAGGAGAGUUAAACAGUACGUGAAAUUGUCAAAAGGGAAGCGUUUGACACCAGUGUUGUUUUUCUGAAAAUCAAUUAAAGAACUGUUUAUGCUAAGCUUGUUUAGACUUUAUCAGCUAACUGUUUAGUUUUGAGCUUUUCUUUAAUGCACUUUUCAGUUAACAAGUCAACAUCAAUUUCUUUUGCUGUAAAAAAGCUUGAGGAAGGUGGCUUGAGAUUCGUCUUAAGUGUUUAUAGCCUCUUGCCUAUGCAGUCGGAGAGAUUGAGGUCUGCAGCGUAGAUCCUUCGGGGCUAAAUGCAUUUGUGCUAAGUUAUAGCAUUUUAUAGACAACUUGUUGACUAUGAUUUGUCUUGUAGCUUACUCGCUUAUGUUAUUUUACCUACGCUUAGGAUGUUGAAUCUGUGCGAGACUAC